rnacentral:rRNA from 1 species
AACGAACGCUGGCGGCAGGCCUAACACAUGCAAGUCGAACGCCCUAGCAAUAGGGAGUGGCAGACGGGUGAGUAACGCGUGGGAACGUGCCUUUCGGUUCGGAAUAACUCAGGGAAACUUGAGCUAAUACCGGAUACGCCCUUCGGGGGAAAGAUUUAUUGCCGAAAGAUCGGCCCGCGUCCGAUUAGCUAGUUGGUGAGGUAAAGGCUCACCAAGGCGACGAUCGGUAGCUGGUCUGAGAGGAUGAUCAGCCACACUGGGACUGAGACACGGCCCAGACUCCAAGGGGAGGCAGCAGUGGGGAAUAUAGGACAAUGGGCGCAAGCCUGAUCCAGCCAUGCCGCGUGAGUGAUGAAGGCCCUAGGGUUGUAAAGCUCUUUCGCCAGGGACGAUAAUGACGGUACCUGGAUAAGAAGCCCUGGCUAACUUCGUGCCAGCCGCCGCCGUAA